UUUGUUAUAUAAUAAAUACUAAGGCUGUGCAAUAUAACCUGUUUACCUGGUAUUUACCGGCUCAGACAUGUAAACGAUACGUAAUUGCAAUACGCUGAUCCAAAACCUGUAUUUUGACAUGCAAUCU